CUUAAAGAAACUGUCGAUAAAAUCACAGAAAUAAUCGCAGUUGCCCGGCAUGUUAGUAGUCAUAGCAUCGCCCACGAUAUUGAUAUCUUGAUGUUGUUCCACACAUGAAGGGACCUAAAGUUUUAAGCCGACUCCGAACGGCAGAUAUUUUAUGAGGAGCUUUUUCAUGGCAGAAAAUCAUUCGAAAAAUUAAGAUUAACAUCAAACUCUGAUUGUAUCCAAAUAUUCCUACUUGUCCUCAUCAAGGCUGCGCUUUAUUAAUGCUGUGAGGCUCUGGAAUUCAAUUCCCGAAUCUGUCAAGGCUGUGAUCGGUAGGAGUAACUACAAUGGGGUAAAGGAGACCCACACGAUUACAUUAAGUUUAUUUAAUGAAUAUUACAAUUAAACUUUAACCAUUUAUCUGUCCCUCUAAUUUCUGCUAUUAAUUCGCUGCAUGUUUCUGACUACUCCUAUAUUUUUCUCAAAGUUUAUUUUAAUUUUAGUUACGUUGCGCUCCACUUACAGUUAAAUUUAAAUUGAAAUACUUGAAUGUCUUACAGAUAAAUAAACAACAGUCUACAUUCAGUAAAGUUUUGUCAUGGGUGUCAGUUGCUCUGAAAAUCGACUGACUACUGGAAACAUUAAUAUUAAGAAAUGCGUGUGCAAAACAAAGAUAGAUACAUACUCGUGUAUGUAACGUGCCCUUUUACAGCAUUGAGUGCAACAUUGCACAAUUUUUAUACCGUAGAAAGGCAACAUUUUUCCGUAGAAACUAAAACACUAUUAGUUAAUCAUAAAAAAGAUUUAAAUGUUGCAGGGAAUUACAUAAAAACGAAGCAGAUAUUGACCCAAGAUGUGUUUCUUUCUCUAGACAACGCGCCCACUUACAAGAAUUCAAUUACAGUAGUUCGCCCACAAAAAUGUGGCCCUAAAACACUCAACCGUCCUCCCUAUAGUCUAGAUUUAGCCCCUGCAGAUUAACCUUUAUUUCCUAAAAAUGAGGUAAGUGCUUCAAAACCUUUUUAGCCUCCACUUCAAAUACUAAUAUUAAAAGUGCUGUUCUGUUCGAGUUUUACAUAUAUUUUGCUGCUCUUGUAAAAUGUCAAAAAAGUUGGAUCGAACCUUUCGUUAACGAUGUGGAUACUAAACUGAAGUUAUGCCAUAGGAGUAUGCUCCAAAAAAUUGCCUUAAAUAAAGUAAACAUCACCCAGAUCAGUGAAUAUGUGGAUGUGCUGUGCCUUAACUACAGUACGAGGAAAUAUGUAAUUCAUGAAUUUAUUAAGUGUAUCAUUAACAUUUUGCCUACUUCCUAUGUGCACUCGUACAUAUACAUAUAUACAUAAGUGGGUAGAUGUAUACAUAUAUGUAACCGAUAUUUUUUAUUAUCUUUGCAGUUACAAAUCACAGUAAUUUACCAUGUAAUUUUACUUUAUCAUAUUAUAUUAUACAAUAUUAUACAAUAAUAUUUCGAACAAUUUGCUUCAAUAUUAAAAAGGGUAAAUUGUAAAAUGUAAUUAAAGUAUUUUAUAUCUUUGUAUAUAUGUAUUAUACGAAAAAAAUUGUAAUUAUCAUUUUUAUGGAAGACAUAAGCACAUAAACAACACACGCAUGUACAUGAGUGACUUUGCCGAAGCCUGGAUAUUUUUUACUAAAUCAAAAAUAAAAUAUUUUAGGAUAAAAUUGAA